rfam:Myceliophthora thermophila ATCC 42464 chromosome 1, complete sequence.
AAUUCUUUAGCUUAACCGGUAAAGCGCAUUCUUGAUAAGGAUGAUAAUCAAGUUCGAGUCUUGAAAGAAUUA